UAUCUGUCACACCAAUAGGCCUUCUAGA
rnacentral:piRNA from 1 species